AUGUGACUGUGUGGUGGUUGAUUUACAUGUGACUGUGUGGAGGUUGAUUUACAUGUGACUGUGUGGAGGUUGAUUUACAUGUGACUGUGUGGAGGUUGAUUUACAUGUGACUGUGUGGAGGUUGAUUUACAUGUGACUGUGUGGUGGUUGAUUUACAUGUGACUGUGUGGUGGUUGAUUUACAUGUGACUGUGUGGUGGUUGAUUUACAUGUGACUGUGUGGUGGUUGAUUUACAUGUGACUGUGUGGAGGUUGAUUUACAUGUGACUGUGUGGAGGUUGAUUUACAUGUGACUGUGUGGUGGUUGAUUUACAUGUGACUGUGUGGAGGUUGAUUUACAUGUGACUGUGUGGAGGUUGAUUUACAUGUGACUGUGUGGAGGUUGAUUUACAUGUGACUGUGUGGAGGUUGAUUUACAUGUGACUGUGUGGUGGUUGAUUUACAUGUGACUGUGUGGUGGUUGAUUUACAUGUGACUGUGUGGAGGUUGAUUUACAUGUGACUGUGUGGAGGUUGAUUUACAUGUGACUGUGUGGUGGUUGAUUUACAUGUGACUGUGUGGUGGUUGAUUUACAUGUGACUGUGUGGUGGUUGAUUUACAUGUGACUGUGUGGAGGUUGAUUUACAUGUGACUGUGUGGAGGUUGAUUUACAUGUGAC